rnacentral:lncRNA from 1 species
GAGUAAUCACUUCAUCAAAUUAACAACCAUCCUAAUUUUGCAUUUUUUUCCUGAUGAUACAUCAUCCACGUAUUUCUCUUACAAUAGACAGUAUGUUGGUAGAAACUAGGGUUCUACCGGCCCUCUGCCUUAGGUUAUAAGGGUAGGAGGGAGGUUGGAGGAGACGAGGACGCUGCGGCCGCAGUGAGGAGGCGGCGGCCAGUAGAGGAGGCGGUGGCUAGAGUUAGGGUUCCGGCUCCUUUGGGAGCCGGGCAAUAGAAUUGUAGAGGAGCCGGGCAAUAGAAUUGUCUUAUUGCUUGAUUCCAAAAGGUGUCUUACAACUUGUUUAUAUAAGCUCUAAGGUAAUAGAAAUAAGGAAACUUGGGCUAANNNNNNNNNNNNNNNNNNNNNNNNNNNNNNNNNNNNNNNNNNNNNNNNNNNNNNNNNNNNNNNNNNNNNNNNNNNNNNNNNNNNNNNNNNNNNNNNNNNNNNNNNNNNNNNNNNNNNNNNNNNNNNNNNNNNNNNNNNNNNNNNNNNNNNNNNNNNNNNNNNNNNNNNNNNNNNNNNNNNNNNNNNNNNNNNNNNNNNNNNNNNNNNNNNNNNNNNNNNNNNNNNNNNNNNNNNNNNNNUAAGGAAACUUGGGCUAAGCCCCUAACUUAACUAAGAUAACUUGGGCUAAGCCCUUAACUAAACGGGCCCAUUGGACCUCCUCCGGCUAUAAGUCACGCCGGUCAUAACAUCUCUCCCCGCCUGCGCAAACAACUCGUCCUCGAGCUGGAAGUCUGGUAAAUGUUGGUGGAACUCGUCAAGCUGCUCCCAAGUGGCAUCCUCCUCCGGAAGACCUUGCCACUGGAUCAACAAGUGCCACACUCCGUGACGUAGCUGGAUCUGCAACACCUUUGCCAGUCCUGGAAGGAGUCGUCCGUCGGAGGUAGGAGGUAGCACCGGUGUUGCUGCCGGCGGUUCUCCAUGGAAGGGCUUCAGCAACCCCACAUGGAACACGUCAUGGAUGCGGGCCCUGGCCGGAAGCUGCAGGCAGUAGGCCACCUUGCCUAUGCGCUCCACCACAGAAAAUGUCCCUGCGUAGUGAGGGCCCAGCUUGCGCUUAGCGCGCGGGUCCAGGGACUGAGUGGAGCGGUGAAGGAGGCGUAGCCACACCCAGUCGCCCAUCGCAAACUCUGGGUCGCGGUGAUGAUCGUCGUAGUAGCGCUUGGACAGUUGCUGAGCCUGGAGAAGGCGUUGGCACACCUCUGCAAGCAUCUCGUCCCGGCUGCGAAGCAGGUCGCCCGCCGCCUCAGUCCGAGCUGUCUCAGGGUCAACCGGCAGGAUAGGCGGGGGCGGUGGGCCAUAGACCACCUCGAACGGCGUGGCGCGCAUGGCGGAGUGAUAAGAGGUGUUUUAGCAGUACUCCGCCCAUGCCAGCCAAUCCACCCAUGCACGGGGACGGUCACCUGUAACACAACACAAAUACAUGGUGAUCACCUUGUUCACCACCUCAGACUGGCCGUCCGUCUGAGGGUCGAAGGCCGUACUCAGGCGGAGCUUCACGCCCGUCAGGCGGAAGAGAUCACCCUAGACAUGCCCCGUGAACACCGGGUCUUGGUCGCUGACGAUCGAAGCCGGAAACCCGUGGAGACGGACAAUUCCGUUGAAGAAGGCACGAGCCACGGAUGCGGCCGUGUAGGAUGGCCGAGCGCGAUGAAGUGGGCGUACUUGGAGAAGCAGUCGACCACCGUGAGGAUAACGGACUUGCCGCCCACCUUUGGGAGGCCCUUGAUGAAGUCCAUGGAGAUAUCGGCCCAGACUUGAGAGGGCACCUCCAAGGGCUGCAGUAGCCCAGCCGGACGCAGUGUCUUCGUCUUGUUACGCUGGCACGUAACACAAGACCGCACUCAGUCCCGGACCAACGCCCGAUCACCGGGGAUGUAGAAAUCAGCGCGGAGACGGUGGAGGGUCUUCUGCACACCCUUGUGUCCGGCCGAGUGGGCCAGCAGCAGGACCUGGUGACGCAGAUCACCGUGAUCCGGCACAAAGAGGCGACACCCAUGUAGGAGCAACCCAUCCGCCCAGCGCCACGGCUCGGCCAGGUCGCCGGCUGCGAGGCGCUGCCGAAGAAGCUGAGCGUCCGGUGCGUCGGAGGUGGCCCGGCGGAUGUCGCGAAGGAGGGCCCCGAGCGGAUGCAGAGAGCCGCCCCGUCGGAGUCGCCGGUGUCCGAGUCGUGGUCGGCGUUGCGGCGGGGCAGGGCGUCGGCCACGGUGUUAAGGCGACCCGGACGAUACUCCACGGUGAAGUCGAAGCCAAAAAGCUUGCUGAUCCACUGGUGCUGGGGAAUGGUGGACAACCUUUGAUCCAAUAAGAAUUUGAGGCUGUAGUGAUCCAUGUGAAUCCGGAACGACCUCCCCCAAAGAUACGGGCGCCAGUGGCGUAUGGCCUGCACCAAGCCAAUGAGCUCCCUCUCAUAGGCCGCGAUCUUAUGAUGGCGUGCGGCAAAUGGUCUACUGAAGAACGCAAGCGGUCCGUCGCCCUGAUGAAGGACGACGCCGAACCCCACCCCGGAGGCGUCGCAGUCCACCAUGAAUGGCUGGUCGAAAUCGGGCAUCUGAAGGACGGGACCUGUCGUGAGGGCCUGCUUGAGGGCCUCGAACGCCUCCAUGGCCUCCGCAUCCCAGGUGAGGCGUCGCGUCGCAACAGGCGUGUGAGUGGGGACGCGAUGAGGCCGAACUCCUGGAUAAAUUUCCGAUAGUACCCCGCGAGGCCCAGGAAGCCGCGGAGAGCCCGUGGCAAGUGCGGUGUCGGCCAGGCCGCGAUCGCCUCCACCUUGUCGGCGUCCAUAGCCACACCCUCGACCGAGAUGACAUGGCCGAGGUAGGCGACUGAAGGCGUGCCGAACGAGCACUUCGAGCGCUUAAGAUGAAGAUGAUGCGCUCGAAGCUCGUUGAAGACGAUGGCGGCGUGCUGAAGGUGCUCUGCCCAAGAAGCGCUGUAGAUAAGAAUGUCAUCAAAGAAAACGAGCACAAACCGACGCAAGUAGGGUCGGAGGACGUCGUUCAUCAAGGCCUGGAAGGUUGCCGGAGCGCUGGAGAGGCCAAAAGGCAUCACCAAGAACUCAAAGUGGCCGUGAUGAGUCCGAAAUGCCGUCUUCGCGAUAUCGUCCGGAUGCAUCCGCACCUGGUGGUAGUCCGAACGGAGGUCGAGCUUGGUGAAGAAGCGCGCCCCAUGUAGCUCGUCCAAAAGUUCGUCAACGAUUCGGAUAGGAAAUUUGUCCUUGAGCGUUAGGGCGUUCAGGGCACGGUAAUCGAUGCAGAAACGCCACGUGCCGUCCGACUUGUGGACGAGGAGGACCGGCGCCGAAAACGGCGAUGUGGAAAUCCGGAUAAUGCCCAAAGCGAGCAUGAGUGCGUACUGCCGCUCCAGCUCGUCCUUCUGCAACUGGGGGUAGCGGUAGGGGCGCACCGCAACCGGCGCCGUUCCCGGCAGGGAUGAAUGCGGUGGUCAUACGCCCGGGCUGGCGGAAGGCCCUGAGGCUCGUCGAAGAGGUUGCGAUGCUGCUGCAAGAGAUGAUCCAACAGGGGGUGCUCAGGCCCUGUGUUAGUCGCUGCCAGCUGAAGCUGCGGCGACGUUGGGGAGGCGCCACCCACGCCCGCCCACUGGAUGCUGCGACCCAGGCGCCAGAAAGUCAUCGUCAUGGUGUCGAAGUCCCAGAGAAUGGGGCCGAGGGUCCGCAAGAAGUCGACGCCGAGGAUGAAGUCGAAGCAGCCCAGAUCAAUGCCGGCGCACGUGAUGGUGAAGUGCUCGUCGCCGAUGGUGACAGGCACGUCCCGGGCGAUCCCAUGGCACCGGAGGUGGUCACCGUUAGCCACGGUGACCCGGAGUUGCUCCCCGCCCGUCGGCUGCAGCGCUAAGCGGCGCAUCGUCGACUCGGGCAGGAAGUUAUGUGUGGAGCCCGUAUCCAGGAGGGCCACCAGGCGCUCGCCGUUGAUCAUCACCGGCAAGAGCAUAGUCCGCUCGUCUCGGAUGCCCGCGAGCGCGUGGAGGGAUACCACGAGAGCUGUCGCCGAAGCGGGCGCCGGGGCGGCGUCAACCGUAACUGGGCCGGGCAUGUCGCCGGGCCCGUCGGUGGCGGUGUCCUCCUCGACGUGGCCGACUCCAAGUAGAAGAGGCGCGGGCAUACAUGGCCUGGGACGUAUGGCUGGUUGCAGUUAUAGCAAAGCCCCUAGCGACGACGCUUGAGCUGCUCAGUCGGGGUGAGUCGGCGGAAGGCUCGUGGCGCGGCCGGAGCGGGGGCCGCCAUCGGUCCGGGGGCGGCCGCCCUAGGGAUGGUGCUGUCUGGGCCGGCCGGCCUGGCUUCCGUGCGUCGCGAGCCGGAGCCGCCUGCUGAAGGGCCUGCGUGCGGCGCUCGAAGGCUCGGGCGUAAUACAUGGCCGUCUGGAGGUCCUGUGGUCCGCGGAGCUCGAUGUCCACGCGGAUGUGAUCCGGCAGUCCGUCCACAAAGAGCUCGGCCCGCUGACGAGCCGACACGCCGGGCGCGUGACACGCCAGGGCCUGGAAGCGGUCCGUGAAGUCCUGCACCGUGGAGGUGAAGGGAAGGCGGCCGAGCUCCGCCAGUCGGCUCCCUUGGAUCGGGGCCCCGAAGCGCAGGAGGCAGAGCUCGCGGAAACGCUCCCAAGGGGGCAUGCCGCCCUCGUCAUGUUCCAUUGCGUAGUACCACGUCUGUGCGGCGCCUCGGAGGUGAUACGAAGCGAGCCAGGUCCGUUCACCUUGGUUGAGCCAGUUCAGGGGGUCCUCGGUGCCGUCGUAGGUGGCGAAGUCCAGUUUGGCGAAGCGCGGCGGCGUGUGGUUAGGGCCGCCCUGGUGGUAUGGCUCGUCGGGGCGGAGCAGUGGAGGGGUAUGCGCCGGGUACCCGUCGGGAACGGCGAAGCUGGAGGGCCCUCCGUACUGGGUGUGUGGCGGCGCCGAGGCCGUUGUGUAGACUGGUUGUGAUGAGUCGGUCACCCAGGCCGGUAGCGGCGACGGGUAGGGGGGGAACCGAAGCUGGUUGAGCGGCCAACCCCCGGCGCGGCGGUCGGGCCCGGCCCGGAGGUGGUGGGAGUCGGCUGCAACAACUGUAGGGUCGGCUGCUGUGGCCCCACAACCGAGGGUGGCGGAGGCCGCUGCAGUGGUGGCUGCAUCGGCCAGGCCAGCGCGGCGGUUGCCGCCAGCGGCGGCUGCGGCCAGGGUGGCCAGGACGGGCCGGCGUUGGCUGGUGGUGGCGCGUUCGGCCGCGGCCCGUAGGGCGCGGCCAGGUAUAGCCGGAUGCCCUGGACGGUGGUAGCCAGGUCACGGAUCGCGCCGGUCAGCUCUUUCGGGGUGAGGACGGCAGGAGGCGACGCGGCAGAGGAGGCCGGCGUUGGCAGGUGCGGGCCGCCGGCCGUGGUGAUCAUCAGAGUGGUGGUGGGGGACGACGACACAACGAUGGAGGCGGGCGGCUGUGAUGACAUGAUCGAACCAGAGUCUUGUGAUAUCAAACUGGUAGAAACUAGGGUUGUACCGGCCCUCUGCCUUAGGUUAUAAGGGUAGGAGGGAGGUUGGAGGAGACGAGGACGCCGCGGCCGCAGGGAGGAGGCGGCGACGAGUAGAGGAGGCGGUGGCUAGGGUUAGGGUUCCGGCUCCUCUGGGAGCCGGGCAAUAGAAUUGUCUUAUUGCUUGAUUCCAAAAGGUGUCUUACAACUUGUUUAUAUAAGCUUUAAGGUAAUAGAACUAAGGAAACUUGGGCUAAGCCCCUAACUUAACUAAGAUAACUUGGGCUAAGCCCUUAACUAAACGGGCCCAUUGGACCUCCUCCGGCUAUAAGUCACGCCGGUCAUAACAUAUGUCAACACCUACAAUUAUUAGUCCAGGACCUACAUACCAUCUAAGAACUAAGAAAAUGCAACAUGUUUAAUUGACUCUUUUUUCUGUGGGUAGCAAGUUCAG